UUGCGGCUGAGGGCAGGCUGAGCGUGGGGGUUAAGGGCCCUUCCCUCCAGGGUAAUGGCACGUCCUGCAGGAAGUUGCACAAGGUCCAGUCUGGGUCCAAAGACACGAAGUUCAGAGACUGAAAACCGUGGGCUGCAUGUCGGUCUCUUAGGGGUGAAUUUAGGCCACUGUUCAAAAUGAAAUGUUUGGUCAGAGAGCCCACACUUGUGCAAACACUGAGACAAGGGCAGGGCCCACUGGGAAUUGGCCAAGGCCGGGAGGGGCUGAACUCGCAGCGCUUUGAAGACGUGCCCGCCUGCGGUCUGCAGACCAAACGCUGCUGGGGUCUGGGUCCAAGGCCCGGGGUCUCUGAGGACGCACCUCCUUCCCAGCCCAUCCCUGUGCCCUCCGGGAGUGCCCUCCCUCGAGCGUCAGUGCCCAGGGAAGGAUGGCUCCCCAGGCCUCCCCAGUCGGGUGACACCUUGGGGGGGCUGUCGGCACAGGUGACACAGGCAGCACAGGGGAAAAGGCUCUUCCGUCUUCCUGAAGUAGCUCUGGUGCCAACGGAGCCCAGCGGGCGCAUGUGACCUGGGACCGCAGGGAUGUCAGGCCGUGCGCGUUGUGCCAGCUGGACGGCCGCACAGAAACCAGACCGAAACUGCCAUGAGCCACCUGCAGGCGCACUCCUUCCCUGCCACACUGUCAGGAGCCCGCAGACGGCCAAGGACGUUUAAACGCCUUAACUCGUCACAUGAUGACACCGGGCUGACAGGCAGAGCUGGUUUGUGGCAGCCCGGGGAGUGUCUCCGUGUCCCAACACUGUCCCCAGGCUUCUGGCCGCCUCCUUCCUUGUCUUCUGAACAGGAUUGAAUUCCUUCUCCUCUGGCCAGGACGGCACGGGAGCUGUUGAGAGCGGGAGCAGGUGGAAGAAAGCCCUGACUUAGCCUCGGGCCCGGCACCUGGGACCCUGGCACAAACCCCACCAGGCGUCCAGCCCCUCCCGGGCGCCGCCCCACCUGGUCCCUGGGGAGAGUUUCCUGAAACGCGCCGCGCAGCUCCCGUCUUGACGGCCUCCCAGCCAAGCUGCCGGGUCACUUGGAGGUGGUCCAGCAUCUUUUCUCCUUUGAGCCAAAGGACACCCUGUUUAAGAAUAAACCUCCUUGUACAGAGGCA
rnacentral:lncRNA from 1 species